rnacentral:rRNA from 1 species
GUGCUUAACACAUGUAAGUCGAACGGGUAUUACACGGAGAUGCGAUUUCGGUCAAAUCGAGUGCAAUCUUAGUGGCGGACGGGUGAGUAACGCGUGGGUAACCUGCCUUGCACUGGGGGAUAACACUUACAAAUAGGUGCUAAUACCGCAUAAGCGCACGGUCCUGCAUGGGACAGUGUGAAAAACUCCGGUGGUGCAAGAUGGAUCCGCGUCUGAUUAGCUGGUUGGCGGGGUAAAGGCCCACCAAGGCGACGAUCAGUAGCCGGCCUGAGAGGGUGGACGGCCACAUUAGGGACUGAGACACGGCCCAAACUCCUACGGGAGGCAGCAGUGGGGGAUAUUGGACAAUGGGGGGAACCCUGAUCCAGCGACGCCGCGUGAGUGAAGAAGUAUUUCGGUAUGUAAAGCUCUGUCAGCAGGGAAGAAAGCAAUGACGGUACCUGACCAACAAGCCCCGGCUAACUACUUGCCACCUGCCACGGUAAUACGUAGGGGGAAAGCGUUAUCCGGAAUUACUGGGUGUAAAGGGAGCGUACACGGCUGUGCAAGUCUGGAAUUAAAGGGGGGGGCCCAACCCCCCGGAGUGCUCUGGAAACUGUAUGGCUGGAGUGCAGGAGAGGUAAGCGGAAUUCCUAGUUGUAGCGGUGAAAUGCGUAUAUAUUAGGAGGAACACCCUUGGCGAAUGGCGGCUUACUGGACUGUAACUUACGUUGAGGCUUGAAAGAGUGGGGAGCAAACAGGAUUAGAUACCUUGGUAGUCCAAGCCGUAACCGAUGAUUACUAGGUGUCGGUGGGUAUGGACCCAUCGGUGCCGCAGCAAAAGCAGUAAGUAAUCCACUUGGGGAGUACGUUCGCAAGAAUGAAACUCAAAGGAAUUGACGGGGACCCGCACAAGCGGUGGAGCAUGUGGUUUAAUCAGAAGCAACGAGAAGAACCUUACCAAGUCUUGACAUCUGGAUGACAGGGAUUUAACUUGUCCCCUUAUUUCGGUACAUCCAAGACAGGUGGUGCAUGGUUGUUGUCAGCUCGUGUCGUGAGAUGUUGGGUUAAGUCCCGCUAACGAGCGCAACCCUUAUCCUUAGUAGCCAGCGGGCAGGGCCGGGCACUCUAGGGAGACUGCCGGGGAUAACCCGGAGGAAGGUGGGGAUGACGUCAAAUCAUCAUGCCCCUUAUGAUUUGGGGUACACACGUGAUACAAUGGCGUAAACAGAGGGAAGGGAACCCGCGAGGGGGAGCAAAUCCCAAAAAUAAUGUCCCAGUUAGGAUUGUAGCUUUCAUCCCG